rnacentral:rRNA from 1 species
UACGAGGGGGGGCAAGCGUUGUUCGGAAUUAUUGGGCGUAAAGGGCGCGUAGGCGGUCCGGUAAGUCUCCAGUGAAAUCUAUGGGCUCAACCCAUAGCCUGCUGGGGAAACUGCCGGGCUUGAGUGUGGGAGAGGUGAGUGGAAUUCCCGGUGUAGCGGUGAAAUUCGUAGAUAUUGGGAAGAACACCGGUGGCGAAGGCGGCUCACUGGCUCGUAACUGACGCUCAUGCACGACAGCGUGGGGAUCAAACAGG